AAAGAAAAAGAAAAUGAAAGAAAAGGAGAAAAACACAUCCAUGCCAAAAGACAUGAAACAGGUCCAUUGAAAAUACCCUUGGCAUUCAUCCCAUCAGUGUUGGGUGGACAGGCAGGGGUGGUUCCCUAAUACAUGCAAGCCAUUCUGUUAUAUUUAAGCACAUAAAUAGCUCAGUGCACAAGUAAAGCAUAUGCUUAAACACAGGAAUUUCACCUUUAAACUUGAUGUGCAGCAGCUGACGUAGCCAAACCAAUACAGAAAAUAAGUAAAACAGUAAAAAUUAAAAGAUGCAGAUAAUGCACAAACUAACAAACUUUGACUAACAAUAUGUGGCUAGCAACAUGAGUUUCAUUAUUAACAGUCCCAAACCUCCCAUAAUAAAUAACCUAAUCAAUUGGUUGUUACCAAAUAUUUGCAAUGCCAACCCCUCCCUCAGACACAUACAGUGGAAAUGAGGCAAGGGGGGGAGGGGAGGGGGGGCCACGGGGGGUUGUUGUGUAAGAAGGAGUUUCUGGCUUGCUGCUUUUAGUUCAUGAAGUUGAAGGCAACAAAUAACUUAAUGUCAACAACAUGAAUUGCAUUAUAACAAGUUUAAAAAAAAUGGAGUUUUUGGUUUUAUUGUUAACAUUCAUAUCUCAGUUCAUUUCAAACUUCCUCUCAUCAUCCCAUCACUACUAGAACUAACCCUAGUCUAUGAAAACCCCUUAAAGCAUAAGAAACCUCACCUUGAGGAGCUCUGAUGAACGGAA
rnacentral:misc_RNA from 1 species